rnacentral:rRNA from 1 species
GACGAACGCUGGCGGCGUGCUUAACACAUGCAAGUCGAACGAUGAAGCCGGAGCUUGCUCUGGUGAAUUAGUGGCGAACGGGUGAGUAACACGUGAGUAACCUGCCCUUGACUCUGGGAUAACUGCGGGAAACUGUAGCUAAUACCGGAUACGACCCUCGGAGGCAUCUCCUGGGGGUGGAAAGAAUUUCGGUCAAGGAUGGACUCGCGGCCUAUCAGCUAGUUGGUGAGGUAAAGGCUCACCAAGGCGACGACGGGUAGCCGGCCUGAGAGGGGGACCGGCCACACUGGGACUGAGACACAGCCCAGACUCCUACGGGAGGCAGCAGUGGGGAAUAUUGCACAAUGGGCGCAAGCCUGAUGCAGCAACGCCGCGUGAGGGAUGACGGCCUUCGGGUUGUAAACCUCUUUUAGCAGGGAAGAAGCGAAAGUGACGGUACCUGCAGAAAAAGCACCGGCUAACCACGUGCCAGCCGCCGCGGUAA